AGCGAACGGACGAGAAGCUUGCUUCUCUGAUGUUAGCGGCGGACGGGUGAGUAACACGUGGAUAACCUACCUAUAAGACUGGGAUAACUUCGGGAAACCGGAGCUAAUACCGGAUAAUAUUUUGAACCGCAUGGUUCAAAAGUGAAAGACGGUCUUGCUGUCACUUAUAGAUGGAUCCGCGCUGCAUUAGCUAGUUGGUAAGGUAACGGCUUACCAAGGCAACGAUGCAUAGCCGACCUGAGAGGGUGAUCGGCCACACUGGAACUGAGACACGGUCCAGACUCCUACGGGAGGCAGCAGUAGGGAAUCUUCCGCAAUGGGCGAAAGCCUGACGGAGCAACGCCGCGUGAGUGAUGAAGGUCUUCGGAUCGUAAAACUCUGUUAUUAGGGAAGAACAUAUGUGUAAGUAACUGUGCACAUCUUGA
rnacentral:rRNA from 1 species